GAUUCUGAUCGAUGAGAUCAACAAGCGCGUCUCGCCGCAUCUUCCAGGAAGGCGUUUCGCGAACUAUCGACGCCGCCGCCGCCACCACCGCCGCUGUCAGAAAGGCACGAAUAGACCAGGGUCAACCAGGGUCGGUGUAUGAUGAAUAUAUUCCUCCUUCUCCGGGUGAAAUCUUCGAUAUUGCUCCACACUAGCGACUCUGACGUACUCGGAUAGUGUCGUUGUACGACACGGUGAUUCAUGGCGAAUUCCUCGUAUACGCGCGUCUUCCGACGAGGGACUUCCCUGAAUGGUCCCGGCCCGUGUGCGCACUCACACGAACCGUUCGGAUCGCGGGGCCCCUGCGGCCUAUCUGAUAUGCAUGUAUUGCAGCAAUGCGUGCCGCGCGACAUAAUCGCGCGGCAUCGCGACGCAUCGAGAAUGCAGGCUGAUGGAGCGAGGAGAGAACGAGGCAGAGGCCGUGUGGAAGAGAGAAAAAUGAGCGAGGGAUCAAGGGAGAUGAGACGAGGGCCCUGCCGUGACGACGAGGCAAGGGAAGCAGAAAUCUUCCCGCGCCGGCUGACGUUCGCGACAAGGUACGACGUGCGAUGACGGGGAGGGAAGGUGAAACCGCAAAAGAAGCAAAGUGGCAACUGAGAAAGGAGCCGCGGCUUUCAUUUGGCGAGCCGGACCGGACGGGUACACGCCGGCAUCAAACGGAGCACGUACAGUGUCUCGUACGACAGGUUAGGUUAGAGCGGAGCGUCGUACCGCGGAAAUACGAUUCGAUAAGGCGGCAGAAAUGUAUUCUGCGCAGAGUCCGCUAAUUUCGUCGUGGGAUAAUUCCAUUACCUCCCCUCAAUGGCGGAAAGGCUGACCUUCGGUUUACCAGUACAGCAGCGAAAGAGACUCCAUAUACAAUGUUUGUGACUGUACGGUGGAUGCGGCUCUCGCAGGGGUGCGGAUUCGGUGGACGCGGAUGCCGUACCGGAGAAGCCGGUUCGGGCCGAGCAGGGUCGGUUCGAAGGCAUGUAGCGGAACGUGGCCGGCCCUGAGUUCCUGGUAUUUCGGUGAGUCAGAAAAAUGAGUAUAAAGAUUUAAGGUGAUGCGUUAUAGCUAGGUGUCCG